rnacentral:rRNA from 1 species
UACGAAGGGGGCAAGCGUUGUUCGGAAUUACUGGGCGUAAAGGGCGCGUAGGCGGCUUAUCAAGUCAGGCGUGAAAUUCCCGGGCUCAACCUGGGGGCUGCGCUUGAUACUGAUGAGCUUGAAUGCGGGAGAGGAUAGUGGAAUUCCCAGUGUAGAGGUGAAAUUCGUAGAUAUUAGGAAGAACACCGGUGGCGAAGGCGGCCCACUGGCUCGACACUGACGCUGAGGUGCGAAAGCGUGGGGAGCAAACAGG